rnacentral:rRNA from 1 species
AUAGCGUAUAUUAAAGUUGUUGCAGUUAGAACGCUCGUAGUCGGAUUUCGGGGCGGUCCGACCGGUCUGCCGAUGGGUACGCACUGGUCGGAGCGUCCUUUUUGCCGGAGACCGUGCCUACUCUUAACUGAGCGGGGGCGGGAGACGGCACUUUUACUUUGAAAAAAUCAGAGUGUUUCAAGCAGGCAGCUCGCUCUUGCAUGGAUUAGCAUGGGAUAAUGAAAUAGGACUUUGGUGCUAUUUUGUUGGUUUCGAACACCGAAGUAAUGAUGAGAAGGGACAGUCAGGGGCACUCGUAUUCCGCCGAGAGAGGUGAAAUUCUCAGACCAGCGGAAGACGAACCACUGCGAAAGCAUUUGCCAGGGAUGUUUUCACUGAUCAAGAACGAAAGUUAGGGGAUCGAAGACGAUCAGGUACCGUCGUAGUCUUAACCAUAAACCAUGCCGACUAGGGAUUGGAGGAUGUUCACUGAUUGACUCCUUCAGCACCUUACGGGAAACUAAAGUCUUUGGGUUCCGGGGGGAGUAUGGUCGCAAGGCUGAAACUUAAA